UUGAAACAUUGGUUCUUGUAUGAUCACUGAAGUUAAGCAAUGUUGAGCCUAGUUGGUAGUUAGAUGGGUGACUGCUUGGGAAUACUAGGUGUUAUA